UGAAAUGCUUUUAUGUGAACUUCAGUUGUUC
rnacentral:piRNA from 1 species